rnacentral:rRNA from 1 species
CCUACGGGCGGCUGCAGUGGGGAAUAUUGGACAAUGGGGGGAACCCUGAUCCAGCCAUGCCGCGUGUGUGAAGAAGGCCCUCGGGUUGUAAAGCACUUUCAGUGAGGAAGAACGCCUGGUGGUUAAUACCCAUCAGGAAAGACAUCACUCACAGAAGAAGCACCGGCUAACUCCGUGCCAGCAGCCGCGGUAAUACGGAGGGUGCGAGCGUUAAUCGGAAUUACUGGGCGUAAAGCGCGCGUAGGUGGCUUGAUAAGCCGGUUGUGAAAGCCCCGGGCUCAACCUGGGAACGGCAUCCGGAACUGUCAAGCUAGAGUGCAGGAGAGGAAGGUAGAAUUCCCGGUGUAGCGGUGAAUUGCGUAGAGAUCGGGAGGAAUACCAGUGGCGAAGGCGGCCUUCUGGACUGACACUGACACUGAGGUGCGAAAGCGUGGGUAGCAAACAGGAUUAGAUACCCCUGUAGUC